ACGCUUAUAAAUAAAGGGGAGUUAUGAUCAGUAAUGUUUUAAUAUGCUUUUUAUUAAGAAAAAGGAAUGAGCCGAUGGGUUAGACUUUUGAGCCAAGCAGAGGACAGUGUGGGACAACUCACUGAUCAAAAACGACGUGAAAAAAUCAACUGAAAGUCAGACAAGAGUUGACGCAAGACUUGCAAAGCCAAAGCUCUAUAAAGGAGCCCCAUAAGCAUUACACAACUCAUUUAUUUGCUAUACAAACUUAAGAAGAAAAAAGAAGGAUGAUGAUUCCGAACCAAUCUUAUUUCAUUUCUUUCUUUUCCUUAUUUUCAAUACUCUUGCUUCUCCUAUACUCCAAAGAGAUGCUCUUUUGGAGUUCAAAAAUGAGUUUCCGAUCAGUGAACCACACCCAGGCGCUCCUUUCCCUAAAUCCUUAAUUUAUAAAGGAUUAUAAAUAAUUUCUAAAGAUUUGUAGAUCAUUUGUAAUGGUUUCUAAGUUAUUUAUAAUAGUUUAUAUAUACUCUGGUCUGGAUGAUCUUGCAGCAGCCUGCAAGGCAAUAGGAAAUAGAUCACCAGAGUGAUCAGCAGCAGAGGAGAUGACCUCUGAAGACUGAAGCUAACCCUCUAGUGUUUGAUGAUUUUUUUUUACUUUUGUAUCUAAUAUAAAUUAUUUAUAAACCCUUACAAAGUUAUUUAUAA